UAUACUGCAAACAGCAGAUGCUUCCAAUUUUGUAAUAAGAAGCUGCCUCAACUGCAAAAGAGGACCCAACUCUUCUAGAUUCCAUCCAUCUUGCAUUGCAGUGCUAUAAUCACUUCUACCACAAAUUGGAAAUCCAUCUAAAUUAUUGAGGUAUUUCAAACCCCCAAUACCUUUUGGAACCUUAUUUAUUGCCGAACCUUUGAGACCAAGACUCCUUAAGUUAAAUAAUCUACAGAUUGCUAAAGGAAGGCUGUGCAAACUGUCACACUUGUUCAAUUCCAAUACCUCAAGGUUUUUGAGAGAACCAAUAGACUCCGGAAGGCAAGUUAUGCUGGUGUCAUUAAGAUUCAACAAGCGCAAAUGAAUCAAACUUCCAAUAUAAUCUGGAAUAUUUUCUACACUUGACCCACUUAAAUCCAAAACACGAAUAUAUGGAAAUCGCUUGAAAAUUGAAGAUUCAACUACCAAUGACUUGCCACAGAAAUUUAUUGAAGUUCUCACUUUGAGUUGAUGCCUGUCCACAAUAGGUAAAGAGAUCAUAUCAUUGCAUGUUACAACUGACACACGUCGCAAUUUAGAUAUACUCCUGCAAUCCAACGAUCGUGGGUCUCCAAAGAAACACUCUUCUCUUGAUAAAUGCUGAGCAAGUUGUCUUAAGAGGUCAUGCAUUGUGCACCUGUAUGGUUCUGCAUACCGAGGAUCUGGUAGGAGGAGGUUCCUUGAGACCAACUCACAGAAGUAUUCUUCUGCUGUAUCUUCUAGUAGUUGGUUAUUUUGCUUUUCAAUAAAGCCCUCGGCAAUCCAGAGCCUGACAAGAUCAUCACAACGUAGUGUCCAAUCUUCAGGAUACAAAGCACAGUAAAGAAAACAUUGCUUCAGGUUUUGUGGUAGCUGAUCAUAACUCAAGUACAAAGCACCUCUGAGUUCAGCAGGGAGCUUACUUAUGGACCAAGCAUCAUUGUCUAGAAUCUUCUGCCAUUCACUCUCUGUUGUCUCCUUCACUGCAAGAACACUAGCCAUAGUCCUAAUUGCAAGAGGAAGGCCACCACAUUUUCGAACAAUUUCCAUUCCUUUGUCCUGCACGUUGUGCACUUCUUUCUCAUCAGAUAUGUUCAUACUCUUCCAAAGCAGCUCCCAUCCUACUUCCACUGACAUCAAUUCGACUCGAUGCAUGUGUUCCACUCCAAUUGCCUUUGCAACUGUAUCAUGUCGAGUUGUUGUUACAAUUGUUACUUGAGCUGCAGCAUUGAGUGGAGUUCUUAGUAAAUUGGUCCAUACAUCAGACUCCCACAAGUCAUCCAACACAAGGAAAAAGCUGUCUCCUUCAAUGGCUUCUGCAAGUUUGGCUUGAAGCUCUCCGAUGCUUUCACAAUUUUCUUUGUCCACUCCAACAUUUCGAAGUAUUUCAUUCAAUAGAGCAACUUGAGAGUACUGUUGGGAAACGCAAAUCCAUGCAUACUUCUUAAAGUUACCCUUCACUCUUUGAUCAUUGUAUAUUUUCUGAGCUAGUGUUGUUUUUCCAACUCCUCCUGUUCCAACAAUUGCCAUCUUGUAAGCCUUCUUGUCCUUGUGUUCUAGCACCAACCCUACCAAUCUAUUGGUAGCAUGUAUGAUCUCUUUUCCAACAAGAUUUGGUUCUACCAGGUGGGAUGUUUUUCUCAUAUUUGAUACUAAUACUCUAUCAAUAGGUUCUGUUUCAAACUUGAAAUUUGUACCUAACUCUUUAAUCAUCUCUAUUCUUUUGUUGAGGCCUCUAAUCUGUACCGCAAUCUCAUGACGUGUCUUUAGAUUCAAAAAGCAAGAGAAAGUUGCAAAUCCAUUGCAUGUAAUUAAUUUUCUUGAUAAUGAUGAAGAGUUUUCUCCUAGUAGAUUGCUCCCUUUAAACCUGACCAUGUCAAUUAUAUCAUCAGCAUCAUACAUUGCAUCCUUCAGCUCACCAAUCCAAUUACUAACUGCUAAGUCUUCAAUCCUCCUCCGGUCAGCAUCUUUCAGAAAACACUGUAUUUGUGUCAUUGUUCGUUGCAGGUCACUAAGCUCUUGUUUAACACCUAGUAUCUGUAUCGCUUCCUCUAUAAUAAGUUCUUGGAGCUUUUGGAUGCAUGAUCCCGCAAAAGAAAAUAAUAUGGUUGCCAUUAGGUGAAUCCCUGAAGCAGACCCACCACCACCAAUAUAUCUUUUCAGAGCUAAGAAAACCAGUAAUAUGAGGGACUAGCUAGUGAGUUUCCUUGAGCAAGCUUUCACAGUGUUAUUCCAUAAACGAUUGAACUUGGACCUGAAAUUUAUAAAGUUUACAGCAGUAUGUCAAAUCCGUACGCACUUGAAAGAUGUACAACACCACAUGCUCCUAUGAGUACUCAUUAUAUUCUGUAAACUACUACUUGACAUAAUCUCACACUGAUUGCGAAGAGAAUAAAGGAUAUGUAAAUGAUGAAAGCACCUAGGAAAAAUUCACACCAUGCACUAUCGGGCAGAUAGACAAAACCAUCUUGGGUGGACUUAGGUGCAUCCAUCCAUGAGUUUUAGACUCCCUUAUGCACUAUGUUCCAGACUAAAACCCAUGUAAUGGAUCUUUGAUUUCCUUUCACACUAGCCAUUUGUGGAUAUUAUUCUUGUUUUUUGUGCAUUUAUAACUUCAUCUACAAUAAGGACUGAUUGCUAUGCAAAUAGGUCUAUCCUGCUAGUAGAUAGCACCUAGCCUUCCGGAACUCAGGCUUCUGCUUGUAGUUGACUGAGUUUACAUGUUUUUGCUUUGACUUGCCAUUAUAUCUGUAUGUGGAAAGUAUACUCCUUAUUUUUUCAGUGUAAUUGUCUCUUGUGUGCACAUUUAUUUCUGACUUAAGCGCUAGUUCCUGCUCAGCUAAAUAGAAAGAUAAACAUCAAAUGACUCAAACUGACUGAUUUGCAUAUUCUAGCAAUGUUUCCUUUCUAGCAACCUAACUGGUCACAUAUUUCCAUGCUCACAUAUUUCCAACCCUCCUCUCAUACUAAAAACAGCUUUAAAUUUUCAAGAGUUGGUCGACUCAUUUAGCUUCUUUCAUCCAUAAAUCUACUCCAGAAAAUCUGACCUUUCAAGUGCUAGUAAUGUUACAUUGCAAGUCAAAAGAAUAUAGGAGGCUGCAGGAUUUCAUUUCCAUGAAUGAGAAAUGGACGUAACUUGUAACAAUUCUUGGAAGAAGUUAGAAGAUUCCAGUGCGCUCAAGUGCACAAGCCUUACCUGAAUCAAAGACCUAUUUUCAACAGGCCUGACUGACAAUAGAAGUCAAGGAUGCAAGAUCAUCCACCAGCAGCAACAACAGUUUGUUUCUGAAGGUCAACUCAAUACUGAAGGAAGAGGAACAAAGACUAAUUGCUCAAAUAAUAUCCCUCAAUGAACUGAACAUCGAUAGCCAAUAUGUGGUCGUCACCAUGAAAGAGUCACGAUUACUCUGCUUGAAAGGGAAAGAAAAAUGGAUAAAACUGAGAAGGGUAGUUGAAUUGAGAAAUAAAGAAUCUCUGGAUAGUACGGACCUUUGUGCACUACCAGAACUGCAAGCAGAUGACCUUAUUCUUCCUUGACUGGAGAAGACCCAGAGGAUCACUUCAAGCAGCAGUGUGAGGCAGUAAAUUCGACAGAAUUCACAAUGGUAUCCCUCGAAAAAAAAAUAUCAACCGACAAUGAUACACGCCUGCAACUGCAACACAAGUUUGUGAGACUACUGACACUUCGUAACUAUGAAUUAAUCUUAAUGGAACACAUUGUGCUAACCAAUUAAUAGGCAGAUACGGAAUGAAGGAAAUACACCUCUUUCAAAGACAGUACUGUCUCCCAAACCAGAUUGCCUCGCAUCCUCCUCUCCUUUUCCUCACUAUAGCAGAGGAAAUGUGAUGAGUAUUUAUCACUUCAAGCAAUUCACCAUAAUGAAAUAGAAACAGAUAAUUAUGAUGAGCCCAUCACCACAAAAAUGAGUAGUACAGUGUGGUAUGAGCUAUAAGGAGUUAGCAUUCUGUCAUUUUAUUUUGUGAUUUAAAACGAUGUAAUAAAUUGGGACAAUAUUUAGUAUCAUGCAAAAGAAACCUCUACUAUGAUUGUUUGAUUCACCAUGAGCAGACUUAUGGUAAUGACGAUGGAAACCAUGAGCAGAGCAAAAAACAUACCCUGAGCAGAGGCAGAGCAAACCAGAGCUAAAGGACGCAAAUCAGCAGAGAGGUAGCUGGAAACUGGAGAGCCAUCACUUCCUGGCUAAAAGCUUCAUCUUCCUUGUGUCACAUGAAUUGUGCAGCUGAAGGAGCAACUACUCUUCAAUCAUCUCUCUAACAGAAAGAAAAAUGAAGUGGUGCAUAAUCAACACAUGCAAAUCAAGCUUGAGCUAGGAGGAGAAAGAUUAUGAAAUCUGAAUCGUUAUGGACUAACUGUUCAAUUCGAGCUUACCAAACUGAAAGGAUAUGAUGCAGAGACAGAGGAGGAGGAUGAAAACGCAAGGAGCAGUUCCUACUGAAGCAUCCUCUCUAUUCCUCCUCUUAUCGGCAUCACUUGAGCAUCGAGAAAAUGAAUUCUCUGGCAGAAAAUAGUGGACAAAGUAUAGAACAGAUAAAUGUGUGACAACCACACAAUCACUGAAAACCAACAGAUCACACGUUAACUCCUGGAAAAAGUGGAGACACUAGAAAAUGAAUUCUCUAGCAGAAAACAAGUGCAUGAUCAACGAAAUGAGAAGAAAUAGGUGCAUGAUGAAGACACGUAUGUGAAGCGUGACUUAGGAAGAGAGAGAGAGGAAAGAAAACAUCCGAACCCUUUAUGGACCAGACAAUCAAUUUGAGCUUACCAAAUUAAACAACGCAGAAACAGAGGAGCCAGUUGAAAACCCAAAUAGCACUUCCUACUCAACCAUCAUCCCUGUUCCUCCUCUUAUUGACAUCACUUGAGCAGCGAGAAAAUGAAAUCGUGCAGGAAGUUUGUAUGUAGAUUCACCAAUACUUCCCCCUUGCAACAGCGUUGGAUCUCAUUGAUCAGAAAAGCUUGGAAUUUCAGUGCAGUGGCAAGUGCAAUGACCUAACCUUGUAUAAGAAGAUGCAGAUAUGUCAUUGUUGAACAGGUCAUCUGUGGUUGGCGUCGGCGGCCGAGCGGGUCAAGGUCUCCGUCCUCUAGCAUGGGGAAGGGGCCAUGUAGCGUCGUCUAGCCAGUGACAUGCAACUGUAACGAUGGCACGUUACACCUAACAAGGGUAUUGAAAUCUGCCUAAUCUCCAUGCCCAGACACAAGGUCAAGGUCUGUGGUAUGGCCAUCGCUGUCAAGUGUGGAAGGUGAUUGACAAACAAUUGCAACGUCCCCUUGUUCAGACAGCAGUACUACACAGGCAGUCUGAACUUGUAUAGGAAUUGUGGCAUUUUCUGGCCCGAUUUUGAAACCCAAAUUGCUGUACGAUGAAAUGAACAAAAGCACUGAACAGUCAGGCCCCUGCAAAUUUUUCCAGGAUAUUUACUUUAUUCAUUCAAUUCCACUUUGCUGAGUGUUUUUUUCUCUUUUGCCGAGGGCCAAAAUUUGCCAAGUGCCUUUGGAUAUUUUUGUCGAGUGUAAGUCUUUGCUAAGUGUUUCCACUAACAACACCGGGCAAACAUACUAACGGAUGUACACGUGGCACGUUCUUUGCCGAGUGUCCAUGCGCGUUUUUGCCUAGUGUCUUUUGAUCUGUUUACCAUGUGUCGCGUUGUUUGCCGAGUGUUUUUGUGUUGACACUCGACAAAUAGCUUCUUUGCCGAGUGCUUGAUAGAAUACACUCGGCAAAGAACUUGGCACUCGGCAAACCCACAAUUUCCAGUAGUUUUGGGAGAGGUUCUUCACGUCAGGGAGCUCAAAAACGUGUCACUUUUUAUCUUUGAAUAAGAAACCUGUGACAUUGAAUGUGGCUUUAAAGAGUAAGCUGCAAAGUGGAAACUGCUUCCGAUAAAAGUAGUUGGAACUCUUUUUUUAAAAAAAAAGCAUUAUGCUGGAAACAUAUAAACAGAAAUGAGUACGAUUUCACCCAUAUUACGUGUAAGUUGCAGGCACCGGCCAAGAUAUGAUUUUAACCUGCAUUUCUUGUCGCUACUACAGAAUGAAUCUGCCUCGCAUUUCUCCUUGGUUGGUUCACAGAAGAUGCAUGACUAAAAUAAGUAAGAGCAGUUUUUUUUAUAUACAUUAAUGUUGGUAGGAACAGCGAAACAAGAGCUCACUUUUCCUAGCAGCAACAGAAAGCACGCAACAGCCGAUGCAGUUCUUCGCAUUACAAGAUCACAAUCUACAACAGGUGCAAGUUCAUCACAGAAUUAAUUGAGAAACUCAAGUAGCAGUGUAGCACACGUUUUCAUUCAUACAUACACCACAAGGAUGGUCAAACACUUAAAUAACAAGACGCAAGCCUUCCCACAGUCUAGAAACAAGAGAGGAAGCCGUCUGCUCAUCUUGAUUAAUUGCUGUGGUUAGCUCAUAUUUUAUUCUUUUUAUUGAUGGAAGUGGUUUGCUCAUCCUGAUUGCUGUGGUUCUUGAACAAUCAUUCUCCAGUCCUUCAUCCAGAAGCAUGCACUCCUUCCAUGCAUACAACGUCAUGUAGCUUCACGACCAAUCACAUGAUUAAGGAAAGAUAGCUCCAGUCACUUCCAAUGGCAAGAAAACAGAGCACGAAUGGAAAGCGGAGGAGAAAUAAAUAUGCAAAAUAUCCAGUGAAUGGUCAUACCUUGCACAUUCGUAGCUAUAUAAAAGUAUCACUCCUCCCAAGGGUAGACAUCCAGGUCUUCUCCGUGCAGCUGUUGGUGACGCUCUUGGAGUCCAGCUAGCCAUUGUGAGGAGACAUCUUCCAUAUCCUCUGUCAGAAACAGCUGGUGCAACUUGUCCAAACCCUCAACACACCUCAGAGCUUCACAUAGACCUACACGCAACAGUUUCAUCUGGGGAAUAUUUGAGAUCCUCUCCAGGCAUUCACAAUAUGAGACUGAAAGUUCCUCAGACAGAAAUGGGAAGUUCUCCACCACCUUAAUAUUGUCCAUGAAUUUUAAUCGGAGCUCCUUCAAGCUGGUGGCUUCCUGUCCAAGCUGCCGUGGAAGAGCUCUCAGCUUGGGGCAGCUGUAAAAAUCCAGGCCCUUCAAACGUGGCAGCAGCUGCAUCCUUGGAGGUGGGGCUUCCCCCUUUUGCUUUGCAGCAGCUCCAUCCUCUCCACCUUCCUUACCUGCUGCCGUUGCUUCUUCUUCUUCAACUACAAAGGUCCACUCCUCCCAGUUGGGCAUAUACCCGAUGGACAACGUUUCAAGCUUGGGGAAAGCAACUGCCUCUGGAGAUCCGAAAUUACCCACCCCCAAGCCAAUAAAUUCAGGUCCAAUCUUGGUGACUGCAGUUGCUCCCUGGAUUCUCAGGAAUUUCAAGUUGGGAAGGUGCCCGAUUGGAGGAAGUUGCGUAUAGGAUUUGCAAUUUUUAAGUAUCAAGUAUUUUAGUGAAGGCAAAUGUCUAGCAGCACCUAACCAGGUAGGAAACCUCCGACCACAAAAUCGCUUGAAACGUAGAGCUUCCAGGUUUUUUGGAGGUAUUAGCUGAUCAAAUACCUUCUCAAUAUUACUAAUAACCUCUUCAGAGUAUGGUUCCUCCGCACAUUCAGUGCAACGUAAAUCUAAUUCUUUAAGAUGCUUUUUAUUAGUUAGUAGAGAAUCUAUACUGCAAACAGCAGAUGCUUCCAAUUUUGUAAUAAGAAGGUGCCUCAACUGCAAAAGAGGACCCAACUCUUCUAGAUUCCAUCCAUCUUGCAUUGCAGUGCUAUAAUCACUUCUACCACAAAUUGGAAAUCCAUCUAAAUUAUUGAGGUAUUUCAAACCCCCAAUACCUUUUGGAACCUUAUUUAUUGCCGAACCUUUGAGACCAAGACUCCUUAAGUUAAAUAAUCUACAGAUUGCUAAAGGAAGGCUGUGCAAACUGUCACACUUGUUCAAUUCCAAUACCUCAAGGUUUUUGAGAGAACCAAUAGACUCCGGAAGGCAAGUUAUGCUGGUGUCAUUAAGAUUCAACAAGCGCAAAUGAAUCAAACUUCCAAUAUAAUCUGGAAUAUUUUCUACACUUGACCCACUUAAAUCCAAAACACGAAUAUAUGGAAAUCGCUUGAAAAUUGAAGAUUCAACUACCAAUGACUUGCCACAGAAAUUUAUUGAAGUUCUCACUUUGAGUUGAUGCCUGUCCACAAUAG
rnacentral:lncRNA from 1 species